AUUGAACGCUGGCGGCAUGCCUUACACAUGCAAGUCGAACGAACCCUUCGGGGUUAGUGGCGCACGGGUGCGUAACGCGUGGGAAUCUGCCCUUUGCUUCGGAAUAACAGUUAGAAAUGACUGCUAAUACCGGAUGAUGUCUUCGGACCAAAGAUUUAUCGGCAAGGGAUGAGCCCGCGUAGGAUUAGGUAGUUGGUGGGGUAAAGGCCUACCAAGCCGACGAUCCUUAGCUGGUCUGAGAGGAUGAUCAGCCACACUGGGACUGGGACACGGCCCGGACUCCCACGGGAGGCAGCAGUGGGGAAUAUUGGACAAUGGGCGCAAGCCUAAUCCAGCAAUGCCGCGUGAGUGAUGAAGGCCUUCGGGUCGUAAAGCUCUUUUACCAGGGAUGAUAAUGACAGUACCUGGAGAAUAAGCUCCGGCUAACUCCGUGCCAGCCGCCGCCGUAAUAC
rnacentral:rRNA from 1 species